GAGUUUGAUCGUGGCUCAGAUUGAACGCUGGCGGCAGGCCUAACACAUGCAAGUCGAGCGGUAGAGAGAAGCUUGCUUCUCUUGAGAGCGGCGGACGGGUGAGUAAUGCCUAGGAAUCUGCCUGGUAGUGGGGGAUAACGUUCGGAAACGGACGCUAAUACCGCAUACGUCCUACGGGGAGAAAGCAGGGGACCUUCGGGCCUUGCGCUAUCAGAUGAGCCUAGGUCGGAUUAGCUAGUUGGUGAGGUAAUGGCUCACCAAGGCGACGAUCCGUAACUGGUCUGAGAGGAUGAUCAGUCACACUGGAACUGAGACACGGUCCAGACUCCUACGGGAGGCAGCAGUGGGGAAUAUUGGACAAUAGGCGAAAGCCUGAUCCAGCCAUGCCGCGUGUGUGAAGAAGGCCUUCGGACGUUGUUAAAGGACACUUUAACGUUGGGUAGGAAGGGACGAGUUACC
rnacentral:rRNA from 1 species